ensembl:lncRNA
GUUAGAUGUGAGGCUGCAGGAGGCUCUGGAUGUGGGGCUGCAGGCCAUCAGUGUAACUGGAUUUGGGGGGGGGGGGUUGAUCCCCCUGGGAGAUGGAGGUGAGGGGAAGUGCUGCAGCUGUGUCACACGCACUGGGUCGAGGCACUGAGGCUGGGGAGAGGACCUCACUCCAUAAUGGGGCUUGGCAAUGGCUGGGGCUGCUCUCCAGCCUUCCUCAGCUCCAAUCUUUCCCCCUCUAUCCACCUGACCAGCAUCACAUUUCCAUUCUCACCUUCUCCUUUUGCUCCUUUCUGUGCCUGCGUCUCCCUUCCUCCUUCCAGCCCACUGCCCCUUUCACCUCCUCUCUGAUUUCUGACCUUCCUGCAGGAGCAGAAGCUCUUGGUGCCAUCUAAAUCACUUCCCCCAGGAGAGACGUCACCUGCAAAGAAUUUACAGAAGGGUUUGGAAGGCAGGACGGGACGUGCCCGGUCUGCUUCGCGCUCAGGAAGCUUUCCAGCCCAUUUGCUGCUCACGUAGCUUCCAGGAAAUUUCAGCUGUGACUCAUCCGUGGGGACAUCCUACCCCUCCCUUUUGCCCAUGCCCCUCCCCACCUUUGCAGACUGCUUUCUGCUUCUCUGCCUUUCACAAAACUGCUCCGAUGUUCCGAACAUUGGGCUGCAAGCUCCUGCUACACGCAGUGCUGCAGCUCCACAUGGGUGAUGUCCCCAGAGCAGCUCCCUCUGGAAACCCAACUGCUGCAAACUACCCUCUGUAGCAGCACAGUUGGCCCCAGAUCAGAUGGAGUUUUUGCAGCCUUAUGUCCCAAAGAUAAGCACAUGCUGGUGUGAUAAGCGAUGCGCUUAGGGAGCGGAGGGAGGUGGUGCAGCUCUGCCUCUCCCACGGACUUCUUGCCUGCAGGAAGGCUUAUGUGGAAAAUACUGCAUGCAGAUUUAUGUUGCUCUUCGUUAUUUUUCUUCCUCAGGAGGGUUCGUUAGGCAACAGGUCUGUUUGGACAGCUUUGAUUUUGCAAAAGGUUUCGGAAUUCGUAAUUGGGGCCAGAGGCUGCCGAGCAGCUUUGUUCCGUGCAGCCACAGGGGUGCAGAUGGUUGUUUGUCUUGCGGCGGCUAUUAAAGACACCCAGUCGUUGUCCUUAAUUACCUUGUGCCAAGGGCUGUACAAACAAGGGUGCAUGAGGAUGACUUCCAGGUUGGGUGCUCGGUGCUUUGGGAGUCCUUAAUCCCUCCUGAACCCGGAGGUGGAGGAUCAGUUCGUGUCAGCUGGCGCUGUGCCAUUGGCUCUGCCCAAGCUGUGUUUGAAGCAGAAUUUUGAUAAGGGCAUUUCUCCUUCAUGACUGUGCAUAAUCACUCCUCUCCUUCCCCUCUUCAUUCACUUGGCUCCAGUUACGAUGGCAUUAUCCUUUAACCUAGACAUGAAUCAGCCCCACAGUUCCCGUAGUAAUGCAGAGUGCCAUUGCACUGCGUUGCCUGCUGUGAAUGGCUUGCUUUGCUUUGCAAUUGAGUCAAUUAAAAGAGGAAUACGGGGAGAUCUCACACCACGUGCAAUCUCAUUGCCACAGGCUGUGGCAGCAGGAAUGGGUUGACCCAAGGAACGGACCAGCAAUGAGGAGAGAGGUCAUAAGCAGCAGAUAAACAUGCUGGGCAAGAUGCAAUUUGGGAAGGGCUAAGCACUGAUGGCUGCAGGAGUAUGGCUGGAAGGGUGGCUGUAAUUGCCCUGGGUUUGUAUGCUGCCCAGCUGAGAUAGAUGGACUCUGGUCUGCCCCAGCCCCGCUCUGUGCUGUGGGUGUAUGCACAGAGCUCAGCUCAGCUCUACCUUUGGGAAAUGGAACAGACCCAGAGAUGCAAUGGGCCGGGCUCAUAGCUCACAUGUGAUUUUGUGGGGACAAAACGUGGGUUUUCCAUUCUCUCCUGAGGUGUGCCAUCUCCAGGAAAGCUGAGCCUGGCACCUCCAGGAUGGAGAACUGCAGUGGUUUUGUUUGUUUGUUUGUUUUCCUUCAGGCUUCAGCUGCGGGAGCAGCUCUCAACUUUCAUGUAAAAAAUUAUCCAUGUAAUUACGAUUAUACAUAAUUAUAGCUAUAUUUAUACUUAUUCCUUCAUGAUUUCUUGUAAUCAUAAGAUCUCAUAAUUUGGAGAGAGGUGAAAAAAACAGCUUUAAGUGCACAUUAAGGAGGCUGGAGAGAGAAGAAAGUCCAUAGCUCAAAUGCUUGCAUCAUGUGUCAAGCAUGGGGAGCCGGAGCUGCACUGCACUGUGUCCCCAGGACGGAUCCCGUGGGCUGGGUUUGCUUGUUUGUCCAGGAGCUCAUGGCAACGCAGCUCCCAUAGCAGCAGCUGCAGUGCUCUGGGUGCAGUCAGGGCAGGAGGUACACAGGGCUGCACUGUGUGGCCGAGGAGCUGCGUCACUGCUGAGCGGAUGGGAAAUAUCUGGGGGGAGGACUGCAGGGGCAACAGCUGUUUAUGGUGGUCUGCGGUGAUCCUGGAGAUGGUGGUGGGUGGGUUUGUGCUGUUAUCAUGCUGUGACCCCAUCAUGAGAAAGACAUAGAGCUGUUGGGGUGGGGCCAGAGGAGGACGUGAGGGAUGCUCAGAGGCUGCAGAGCCUCUGCUAUGGGCACAGGCUGAGAGCUGGGGGUGAUCCAGCCCUUGGGGUGCUCAAGGCCAUGGAUGGGACCUUGGGUAGCUGAUGGAGGAGUUGGACCAGCCCAGGACAGGGGAUGGAGCUGGAGGGUCUUUGAGAUCCCUCUUGCCCCAACCAUGCUGUGAUUCUGUGCUUCUUUGAUCUUCAGGGACCCUUCCAACCCAACCGUCCUAUGGUUCAGUGAUCUCAAAGGACUCUUCCAGCCCAACUGUCCUAUGGUUCAGUGAUCUUGAAGGACCCUUCCAACCUAACCAUCCUGUGUUUCUAUGAUCUUGAAGGAUCCUUCCAACCCAACCAUCCUAUGGUUUGAUGAUCAUUAAGGACCCUUCCAACUCAGCCAUCCUAUGGUUCCAUGAUCUUGAAGGACUCUUCCUACUCAACCAUCCUAUCAUUCUAUGAUUCUGUGAUCUAGAAGCGUCUGGCUUUGAGCCACUGCCUUUCAGAUAAAAAGAGGAACAGGGAAAUGCAGCUCCUGCAGUGAAGGCAGCAGCUUUUGGAAGCUGUGCUGUUAACGUGGUGCUGGCUCUGCUCUGCGGCAGCUGGCAGUCACCUUGGGCAAGCAGCCUCCAGAUGUUCCACUUGUUCCUGCUGGUCCUGAGAUGCCCCCUCAAUACUAAGUCUGCCCAACUUUGCUGCAGGAAGGAGAGGUGUAGCUGGGAGAUGCAGUGUAGCAGAGGUGAGCCCCAUUGCAGCAGCUCCCAGAGGUGCCAGGGUUUGGUUUAUCAACAUAAGACCAAGUGAGUGUGAAUUAACGUUAACAGGAAGGUUGUAUGAAGCUCAAGGGAACCACUUCCAUUCUUCAGAAAUGGGCAGUGGCAGAAUAUGAAAGACAUAAAUUAAGCAGCCUCGAGGUAGGUGUGGGGCCCUGAAUUGCAGCAGGAGGGUGAUGGGCUGUACCAAGGUACCAACCCCUGGAACAUUGAAUCCUUUGAACCAGCAGCCUUCUGGAAAAGCUGCUUUCCUGUCAUUGAGAUAGUGUGCUGCUGAGCUGUGUCAUUGCAUUGAGCUUUAUUGCCCCAGUGACAUGGAAAGUACAACUCAGUAAUGCUUCAUGUGCAUUAACCACUUUGUCUUGACGUGGCUGGUGUCUGUGUGUUCACACAUCACACUGUAGAUGUCUCUUAUUGCCCCCAAACCACAGGUGCUGUACAGGUUUCCUUUGGAGCAGUCUCUCAGUAUUCAUAGCAACAGCUGAGGAGCUGCAGGUGUUUAUUGCAGGAGCUCCUCUAGGAGCCAGAUCCUGGGAGGAGAGGGAGCAGUGAUCUCAGCAUGGGGAUAUCACCACCAGCAUGGCAGCUCUAUGGCUGCAAGCACCAGCGCUGGCAUUGCAUUUGGGCAUUGGUAUAAUGAAUUACAGCCUGACAGCGCCAUUCUCUGAUAGUCCCUGAGUGCUGUGUUGUGCCCUUGCAUGAUUGCCCCCAGUUAUCAGACCACCAAAACACAGCCUGUCGUUAGGAUGCCAGCUCACUUAUAAAUGACUCACUGCUGAAGCACUUUGGAGCAGUAAUCGCAAACUGGGACUGUGCUGUGCAAACACAAAACCUGAGGACACUCCCAGCUCCAGAAAGCUUUCAAAGCAAGCAAACACUGCAGUCUGAACACACAGCAAGAGAUAGCCCACGGAUACCGACUGAGCAUGAGGAAACAGCAGACCAACAUUGAUUGGCAUAAUUAUGUGUUCUUAAAGCGGUUUUGCUCAUCUGCAAAGAUUUCUUCCUCUUCCACCAGGAUGUGGCCAUAUCUGACGGGGUUUUUCAGUGCUUUCAGGGCUGGGGUUGAAAACUUGGUAUGCUUUCAUGUAGGAUUUAUGGAGGGAUUUGUUACUGGGUGAGCGU